rnacentral:rRNA from 1 species
AACGAACGCUGGCGGCAUGCCUAACACAUGCAAGUCGAACGAGACCUUCGGGUCUAGUGGCGUACGGGUGCGUAAUGCUUGGGAACCUGCCCUUAGGUUCGGAAUAACUCCCCGAAAGGGGUCCUAAUACCGGAUAAUGUCUUCGGACCAAAGAUUUAUCGCCUUUGGAUGGGCCCGCGUUGGAUUAGCUAGUUGGUAGGGUAAAAGCCUACCAAGGCGACGAUUCAUAGCUGGUCUGAGAGGAUGAUCAGCCACACUGGGACUGAGACACGGCCCAGACUCCUACGGGAGGCAGCAGUGGGGAAUAUUGGACAAUGGGCGAAAGCCUGAUCCAGCAAUGCCGCGUGAGUGAUGAAGGCCUUAGGGUUGUAAAGCUCUGUUACACGGGAAGAUAAUGACGGUACCGGGAGAAUAAGCUCCGGCUAACUACGUG